rnacentral:rRNA from 1 species
UGGGAGCUCUCCCAUAUGGUCGACCUGCAAGUGGCCGCGAAUUCACUAGUGAUUCGUAUUACCGCGGCUGCUGGCACAGAGUUAGCCGGUGCUUAUUCUGUCGGUAACGUCAAAACAGCAAAGUAUUAAUUUACUGCCCUUCCUCCCAACUUAAAGUGCUUUACAAUCCGAAGACCUUCUUCACACACGCGGCAUGGCUGGAUCAGGCCUUCGCCCAUUGUCCAAUAUUCCCCACUGCUGCCUCCCGUAGGAGUCUGGACCGUGUCUCAGUUCCAGUGUGACUGAUCAUCCUCUCAGACCAGUUACGGAUCGUCGCCUUGGUGAGCCAUUACCCCACCAACUAGCUAAUCCGACCUAGGCUCAUCUGAUAGCGCAAGGCCCGAAGGUCCCCUGCUUUCUCCCGUAGGACGUAUGCGGUAUUAGCGUCCGUUUCCGAACGUUAUCCCCCACUACCAGGCAGAUUCCUAGGCAUUACUCACCCGUCCGCCGCUCUCAAGAGAAGCAAGCUUCUCUCUACCGCUCGACUUGCAUGUGUUAGGCCUGCCGCCAGCGUUCAAUCUGAGCCAUGAUCAAACUCUAAUCGAAUUCCCGCGGCCGCCAUGGCGGCCGGGAGCAUGCGACG